UUAGCUGUAUAUUUCCAAUAUUAGGAGAUUAUUAGCAAUUCUUUACGACCCGCUGGUGAAAAGCUGUGAGAAGGACACUUUAACUCUUUAGUUCUUUUCCGCUAUAUAUUGUACUCUUAUUCUAGCUCUUUAUGAGUAUUAAUAUGAUGACUAUAUUGACAGCAUUUGCAUGAUGAUGAGUGGGGCAGGCCACGCACAAAGUUUGUACCAUAGUUGAAGUUCAAGUUCUUUAAUAAUUUUGGAAGAAAGUACAGUUACAUUCUUCCUCCCCACCUUGUUGAUUUCAGAUUCAAAAUAAUUUUGACUUCUUUGGAUUCAACUCUUGGUUAUUGUACAACAUGGAUGUCACAAUUGUAUUCAUGUUAAGUUCUUAAUGAAGUUUGGCUUGAUGUUCAAAUCUCAGACGCAUGUUUGUUGCCUCUUUUUAUCUGUUGUCUAUGGGGGCUGCAUCAGUUGUCUCAGAUCAUGGUAGCAGGCUCAUUUGAUAUUUGGUUGAAGUAAAUUUGCAUCUUGGGCUUUAACUUUUAUACACUGAUUGUCUAAUAAUUUUUGUUUUUAUAAUAUCAGGUUGCCUAAAAGAUAACUACAGGUGUAACUUGCUAUAACUGGUUGAAUUACACUAACUAUUACAAAUGAAAGUACACCAGUAAUAUAAAAGUUAUUUACAC
rnacentral:lncRNA from 1 species